GACGAACGCUGGCGGCGUGCCUAAUACAUGCAAGUCGAGCGAAGUUUUUCUGGUGCUUGCACCGGAAAAACUUAGCGGCGAACGGGUGAGUAACACGUAAAGAACCUGCCUCAUAGACUGGGACAACUAUUGGAAACGAUAGCUAAUACCGGAUAACAGCAUUAACUGCAUGGUUGAUGUUUAAAAGUUGGUUUUGCUAACACUAUGAGAUGGCUUUGCGGUGCAUUAGCUAGUUGGUGGGGUAAAGGCCUACCAAGGCGACGAUGCAUAGCCGACCUGAGAGGGUGAUCGGCCACACUGGGACUGAGACACGGCCCAGACUCCUACGGGAGGCAGCAGUAGGGAAUCUUCCGCAAUGGGCGAAAGCCUGACGGGGCAACGCCGCGUGAGUGAAGAAGGAUUUCGGUUCGUAAAGCUCUGUUGUUAGGGAAGAAUGAUUGUGUAGUAACUAUACACAGUAGAGACGGUACCUAACCAGAAAGCCACGGCUAACUACGUG
rnacentral:rRNA from 1 species